rnacentral:rRNA from 1 species
CCUACGGGUGGCAGCAGUGGGGAAUAUUGGACAAUGGGCGAAAGCCUGAUCCAGCCAUGCCGCGUGUGUGAAGAAGGCCUUCGGGUUGUAAAGCACUUUCAGUGGGGAAGAAAGCCUUGGGGCUAAUACCCUCGAGGAAGGACAUCACCCACAGAAGAAGCACCGGCUAACUCCGUGCCAGCAGCCGCGGUAAUACGGAGGGUGCGAGCGUUAAUCGGAAUUACUGGGCGUAAAGCGCGCGUAGGCGGUCUGAUAAGCCGGUUGUGAAAGCCCCGGGCUCAACCUGGGAACGGCAUCCGGAACUGGCAGGCUAGAGUGCAGUAGAGGAAGGUAGAAUUCCCGGUGUAGCGGUGAAAUGCGUAGAGAUCGGGAGGAAUACCAGUGGCGAAGGCGGCCUUCUGGACUGACACUGACGCUGAGGUGCGAAAGCGUGGGUAGCAAACAGGAUUAGAUACCCCAGUAGUC